GUUCCGGCAGCAACCACCACCACCGCUGUUCCGGGAGCAACCACCACCACCGCUGUUCCGGUAGCAACCACCACCACCGCUGUUCCGGUAGCAACCACCACCACCGCUGUUCCGGUAGCAACCACCACCACCGCUGUUCCGGCAGCAACCACCACCACUGCUGUUCUGGCAGCAACCACCAUCACCACUGUUCCGGCAGCAGCCACCACCGCUGCAGUCGCACUAACUAACCCUCCAUCUUCUAGUGAAGGAACCCUGAUUCUUCGGUUCAGUCUCAAUGAGAAAUUCACCUCGGAUCUUGCCAACCCGUCUUCUUCAGCAUUCAAGGCUCUGGCUGGCAAAGUGGUCUCAGAGGUGAACAAGAUUUUUGCUAAAACCCCAACUUCCUUCGUUCCAUUGUCAACUCAUUCAAGAGUGGAUCUGUAGUUACCAACAUGACCCUCAUGUUCAGUAACAAAUCUUCGGUUCCAAGCGCAUGCAGCGCACAGGC